AGUGAACGCUGGCGGUAGGCCUAACACAUGCAAGUCGAACGGAAGCACAGUAAGAGCUUGCCCUUACGGGUGGCGAGUGGCGGACGAGUGAGGAAUACAUCGGAAUCUACUUUUUCGUGGGGGAUAACGUAGGGAAACUUACGCUAAUACCGCAUACGACCUACGGGUGAAAGCAGGGGAUCUUCGGACCUUGCGUGAUUGAAUGAGCCGAUGUCGGAUUAGCUAGUUGGGGGGGUAAAGGCCCACCAAGGCGACGAUCCGUAGCUGGUCUGAGAGGAUGAUCAGCCACACUGGAACUGAGACACGGUCCAGACUCCUACGGGAGGCAGCAGUGGGGAAUAUUGGACAAUGGGCGCAAGCCUGAUCCAGCCAUACCGCGUGGGUGAAGAAGGCCUUCGGGUUGUAAAGCCCUUUUGUUGGGAAAGAAAAGCAGCAGGUUAAUACCCCGCUGUUCUGACGGUACCCAAAGAAUAAGCACCGGCUAACUUCGUG
rnacentral:rRNA from 1 species